rnacentral:rRNA from 1 species
UACGUAGGGGGCAAGCGUUGUCCGGAUUUAUUGGGCGUAAAGAGCGUGUAGGCGGCCAUACAGGUCCGUUGUGAAAACUCGAGGCUUAACCUCGAGACGUCGAUGGAAACCGUAUGGCUAGAGUCCGGAAGAGGAGAGUGGAAUUCCUGGUGUAGCGGUGAAAUGCGUAGAUAUUAGGAAGAACACCAGUGGCGAAGGCGGCUCACUGGCCCGGUACUGACGCUGAGGCGCGAAAAGCGUGGGGAGCAAACAGGG